AGUCUUACGAAUUUCUCCUGGGCUAAGAGGCUACUGCAUGUUGAAGAACAUGCUUGGCAGUUAACACCCCUGAGAGCUGAUUUGAAACAAAGGAAAAGGAAGGAACAUCCAAGGAAGGCAGCAGGCACAGAGCAAAUCACUCACUCCCAACCCAGAGUAGUGAGAAAAAAUAACAAUACAGGAUUCUUUCGAGGGCCUGUAAUUGAAAUGAGUACACUUUAAAUCCUUUAACAGGGAUCUGUUAGAGGGCAAAUCUGGUGCAGUCAGCAGUGGUAAUUCCAACUCCAAUAGCAUAUAUU
rnacentral:ncRNA from 1 species